rnacentral:rRNA from 1 species
CCUACGGGUGGCAGCAGUGGGGAAUAUUGCACAAUGGGGGAAACCCUGAUGCAGCGACGCCGCGUGAGUGAAGAAGUAAUUCGUUAUGUAAAGCUCUAUCAGCAGGGAAGAAAAUGACGGUACCUGAGUAAGAAGCCCCUGCUAACUACGUGCCAGCAGCCGCGGUAAUACGUAGGGGGCAAGCGUUAUCCGGAUGUACUGGGUGGAAAGGGAGCGUAGGCGGCAGUGCAAGUCUGGAGUGAAAGGCGGGGGCUCAACCCCCGGACUGCUCUGGAAACUGUACGGCGGGAGUGCAGGAGAGGUAAGUGGAAUUCCUAGUGUAGCGGUGAAAUGCGUAGAUAUUAGGAGGAACACCAGUGGCGAAGGCGGCUUACUGGACUGUAACUGACGUUGAGGCUCGAAAGCGUGGGGAGCAAACAGGAUUAGAUACCCGAGUAGUC